AAAAAUAAGGAAUGCUUCAUGAAUUUGCAUGUCAUCCAUGCACAGGGGCCAUGCUAAUCUCUGUAUUGUUCCAAUUUUAGUAUAUGUGUUGCCGAAGUGAGCAC
rnacentral:snRNA from 1 species